rnacentral:piRNA from 1 species
UCAGCAGUAGCAAACUCCGGACACGCCGCC